rnacentral:snRNA from 1 species
AGCUUUGCGCAGUGGCAGUAUCGUAGCCAAUGAGGUUUAUUCGAGGCGCGAUUAUUGCUAAUUGAAAAUCAACAAAACUGUUUUGAGUUCUCAAUCAUUCUUAACAGUGUAAAGGGGGACCUGGGACCAGUGCUAUAAGCAUGUAAAGAACACCUUAAAGCUGUCCACUCCCAAGAGCUCCGCAAAUUUAGGAGUGAGUGUAAACUC